rnacentral:lncRNA from 1 species
UUAGCCUAGAGCAAUUAUGAUUCCAAAGAAUGCAGAAAAAGAAAACUUAUUCUUCAAUCUUACCAUGGAACUCCAUCCUUGCCAUUCAUUUGAGAUCUUGCUCAAAGACAAAUCGAGUACGACUAAUUCCGUUAGGCGAAAAUUAUUUGCUUCAAAAGUUGAGGGACAACCCCGCCAUCGAAGCCAUUUUAACUCCCCCAUUGAAUUCUCAAAAUCUCCUCUAAGACAUGCCCCACUCACAUCAAGGAACCUUAGACCUGUUAACUUCUUGAAUUGCUCAGCUUCAAAAUUCUCGAAUUUCUCAGCCUCAAAAUUCUCGAAUGGCCCAGCCUCAACAUUCUCGAAUGGCUCAUCAAAGUGGGAAUGGUGAACUUUGUUAAAAUAAAUGGCCUUAAUAUUUUCUGUUCCCUGUAGGUAACCAUCAAUGUUCGUUAAUCCUAUUUAUAUCCAACAAAACUAAUCUAAUAUUAUUUGUUCAUAUUGCUAUAAC